UCUUGGGUAGCCUAGCCAGGCCAAGGCGGUGGCCUCGAGAGCCACUGGUGCGUAAGCACCGCAAGGGUUCAAAUCCCUUCCCCAGCG
rnacentral:tRNA from 1 species